UAAACGAUGGGCGCUAGGGUGUAGGGGGUUUUUAAUCCCCUCCGUGCCGCAGCUAACGCAUUAAGCGCCCCGCCUGGGGAGUACGGCCGCAAAGGUUAAAACUCAAAGGAAUUGAAGGGGGGCCCGCACAAGCGGUGGAGCAUGUGGUUUUAAUUCGACGCAACGCGAAGAACCUUACCUGGGCUUGACAUGUGGGGAAUCUCACGGAAACGUGGGAGUGCGUAGCAAUACGAGCCCCAGCACAGGUGCUGCAUGGCUGUCGUCAGCUCGUGUCGUGAGAUGUUGGGUUAAGUCCCGCAACGAGCGCAACCCUUGUCUCUAGUUGCCACCAUUCAGUUGGGCACUCUAGAGAGACUGCCGGUGAUAAACCGGAGGAAGGUGGGGAUGACGUCAAGUCCUCAUGGCCUUUAUGUCCAGGGCUACACACGUGCUACAAUGGUCGAUACAAAGGGUUGCAAACCCGCGAGGGGGAGCCAAUCCCAGAAAGUUGGCCUCAGUUCGGAUUGGAGUCUGCAACUCGACUCCAUGAAGUUGGAAUCGCUAGUAAUCGUGGAUCAGCAUGCCACGGUGAAUACGUUCCCGGGCCUUGUACACACCGCCCGUCACACCACGAAAGCCGGUUGUACCAGAAGUCGCUGGCCUAACCCGCAAGGGACGGAGGCGCCCAAGGUAUGUUCGGUGAUUGGGGUGAAGUCGUAACAAGGUAGCCG
rnacentral:rRNA from 1 species